GCUAAGGUGGCAGAUUAAUGCAUUAGAUUUAAGCUCUAAGUAUAAGAUUUUAUCUUCCUUUGCAC
rnacentral:tRNA from 1 species